AAAAUCAAUUUUUAGUAUUUUGAAAAUACUAGGUAGGCUACGUAAGUCUUUGAUUUUA
rnacentral:tRNA from 1 species